CAGCGGAUGUUAGCUCAGGGCUAAUCCUCUUCAAAAAAAUAAAUAAAUAAAUAAAAAAUAAAUAAAAGCACUAGCUUCCCACAGCAACAAUUACAUAAAGAGACUCCUAACCCUUUGUGAGAUGAAAAAUAAACCAAUCUCCAGUGCAACGCCAGAGGGCCUUGGGUGAUAUUUACAAACACCUAGGAAACAGAGCUAGGAAAAGGAGCAAGGGUUCCUCGCUCACCCUCUAGCCAAUUUCCUUUGCUUUUCCCUGUGCUGGGGAAAGUCGCAGGACUAAUAAGCCCUGGGAAUGGGGGAAAUGGAGCCUCCAUGAGCCCUCCCAUCAGCGAGCUGGGAGGGAUGAGCCUGGACCUCUCAGACGGCAAGAAACACACAGGCCACUUUCAUUUCUUAAGGCUCUUGGUAUAUUAAAAAAGGAGAAGUGUCACAACAGAACCACAACUGGUGACAUUUUUUGAAACUUUGCAUUUAAUGAAUUGGUAUAAUUUAACACCAAAGGCACUGAGUUAUUCACAAGAUAAUUAUAGGACUUCUGAAAAAUAUUAAUUCAUAAGGUACUACAGGGUGUCUGAUCUGGUAAUGGGGACGCAAGCUUAGCUGUGGGAAGUCCGUCAGCUUCUUCCAGGGUUGUUGUAGUGUGGGACUGUAUGUAUGACCUCAUUUGGAGAUGAGUCAAAUCUUAAAUUUGAGGCUUUCGGUUACUCUGGGAUAAAUGGGACGGUUUCCCUAAUCCCUAAUACAACCUGCUCCCUCCCACAUGAUAGCCCUGAGUUUAGGAGUAAAUAGUUUGUAUAAGUGCACCAUUUUAUGAAGAUUCAGAGGUCUUUGAUAAUAUUUAACAAAGAUUCCUUUGUUGAGUUAGAGAGAUUUUAAAGAAGGGAUUAUUAUGGCUUCUGAAACGGCAUUUUAGGGGGGUCUUUCCACCUGUAGGGCCCAAAUUUCAUGAAAGCAUUGCCAAUGAGAUCCAAUUACAUACAUGUAUCUCCACGAAAAGCCCAGAAAGACUGAGAUAAAAUGCUAGAGGGAGGGAAAUCCUCCCGGGUACGUGUAUGAGAAAACUCUUGUGAAGCCCUUCAGAGGUGUGGGUCUCACCUGCCCCUUGUUCCAGCUGUGCCCAUUCUGUGGGGUGCCAGCCAGUUCCCACAGGUGCAGUUGACCACGAUCCACCUCAAGUGCACUCUCUGUACCUCUUGCUUUCUGCCUUCAGGCCUCUGAGAGACACUGUGGGUGGAGCCACUAUGGUAACGUGCUUGGCAACGUAGAUGUCCAUGGGGAGAACCUCUGCCUAGUGGUCCAGGGGGCACUGGAGAACCCCUGCCCCUCUUUUCCCCCUUGGUUGGUGCUGAGACACCAUUCAGAGAGCUGCUCCAAGGUCUCCUGGGAUCCUACAGCAGUAUCCUGUAGCAUGGCCAACUCAGUAACACAGGCAACAGCCUCUGCGAGCCAACCAGAUUUUCUCCAAGAUGGAGACUCAGCCCAGCCAACAUUCUACCACAGAAGCGACUGACCUGGCCUGGGGGUCCACCAGCCCAACCACUGGGUGUAAAAUUGUGAGUGAGGGUUGGAGGCUGGGCAUGUGCUGAUACUUACAGUUUCUAGAGAGAAAGCCCGUUGUUUGCAUCUGUCUCUCAGAGGUCUCCAUGAUUCAAAAAAGGUUCAGAAAUGAGUCAAAAUUUUCCUAGCCUUUUCCCCAGAGGCCUCACUGAUUCUUUACCCCAGCGAGUCCCCUGAGGGCCUCCCAUUCUCCAUUUUUCAUUAAGAGGAGUAUCAGGCAGGGACCGGCCCGAAGACAGAAACAUCAGUAAUUUGAACAGAGAAGGUAAUAUAGUAAUCAUUAACUAUGUGAAAUGGGAAACUAAAAAGGCAAAAAGGGUGCAUGACAGUAUCACAGAGGUAGCACCUGAAGGAGUGGCCAUCGCCCCUGGGCAAGGUGAGGAAAGAAGUGGGAAUUAUUAAAACCCAGAAACCUGAGGCUCAGACUCUGAGCAGGUGUGCUGCUCAGCUGAGCUGGUGUCUCUGAGCUGGGGAGGGGCCCUGUGGGGACCUGGGGGCUCCUGGGAGGGGGAGUGUGAUGGGGCUGGUUCUCUAAGUGUUAGAGAAACGGCAAACUGCACGCAGGUGCUGCUACAAGAAGGAACUGCCACUGCCAGGGUGAUGGGGUGAGAUAAGGGUGGCAUCGAUAGGGACAGGAAACCUACGAGGAGUCCUUUCUUUCUCCUCCAGCCAUGCUGCCUCCCUCUAGUGCUUCCCACUGGAAGAGCUGACAUGGAGCCAGCUGGCAAAGCUGGACUACGGUUCGCAGAGCUCAGCUCCAGCACGAGGCUGAGAACAGAAGAGUAGGUUUGGAGCUGAAAGACACUUACUAGCCAUGAGUCCUGACACUUUCAGAGUUGGAGUUCUGGAAAUGAGAAGAGGCAAGGGGAGCAGGAAAGCUCUUGCCUGAUUGGCCUGGGCAUGGUGAUGUGGCGUCUGCUCUCUCUGGACUUGGCAGACGUUGAAAGCUGACUCUCACAGGCUCUUUUUGAUGAUCUUAACUCACAAUCACUGAGGAUCUCUUCCCUGAAGUUUGCUUCACAGGACAAAUGCUCUCUAUUCCAGCCACUCACUUACUCACUCAUUCCUUCCUCGGCCUCUAUGAAUGUGCUGAUACCUCAAGCUUCUCCCUGAGAAGACCUGUUUAUUCCUCCAUGCAGCCCUCUUGGACAGAUCCAAGACAAUCCCUCACUGCCAUAGCGGGUAGGGGGAAACUUCUCCUGUGCCCUCUUAUAUUCAGUGACCGAGGCCAGCAAAUUAAACUGACAAAGAAAAGAUUAACAGGAGAGUAGGUUUAUUUCAUAUGCAUACGCGGGACCUCACAGAAAAGAAGUGAAAAUCCCCCAAAGCAAUAAUGCCUGGGGGUUUAUGUACCAUUUUAACAAAGGACAACACAGUGUAGAGAAGAGUUAAAGGGGUUUGAGCUUCUGGGGUGGUGAAUUGGAGGAAGGUAAAUAUACAGGGGAACCUAAUGGAAGAUGAGGGUUAUUUUAGUAAGGCUUGUUAUGCAGAUUCAAGUCAGUGCCUCAGUGAUUAAGCAGGAGAGGGGAGGGGGCAUACCUUCACACAGGGAAAUGUACCCCUGCUUUCAGGCAGAAAGAGGGGGGCAGAGAGCUCCUUUUGUGUCUGCUGUUUCUUAAUUGCCUUCAGCUCAAAAUAGUCCUAACAUCAAAGUGGUGUAUUUUGGGGUGGCAUAUUCUGAUCCCCUUCACUGCCAACCCUAUCAUGGGUGAGACCCAUAUCUGGGCACGCACUCACGAAUCCUCUUGUGACAAAUUUGGGGCGCACAAGCUGUCAUGGCUACCUCCCCGAGACCUUCCCUUUCCUCCACAGUCAAAGCCAUAGCUAGCCCAUCACUUGUCCUUUAAGUUUGGCGGGAACUGGACACCUGUGCAGUGUGUCCCCUGAGCUACUAGGGACACAAAUGAAGCUCUUUCAGUGGGCAAGUUGAACCCCCUUUUCCUAAGCAUGCGACAAGGGCCCUGUACUCCCUUCGCUCUCCACGGGUGGGAGAGGGACUCACCGCGCACCAAAAACUUUGUUCCUGGCCGUUUUAUCACCAUGAAUGAGGGGUGCAGCCAUCACAAAGCUGGUUUCUCUGCUCCCUUUCCUCCAAAGCCUGCACGGGGGUCUGGGACCUCUUUUUGGAACGUGAUCUCCAUUGUCUUCAGGCCUUAGCAGAAACGCCUAUUCUAACAUCUCGUUACAUGUGUACAUUGAGAAAACUGAAUAAAGUAGCCAGGUUGCCCUAUUA